GGACGAACGCUGGCGGCGUGCCUAAUACAUGCAAGUCGAGCGGACUUGAUGAGGAGCUUGCUCCUCUGAGAGUUAGCGGCGGACGGGUGAGUAACACGUAGGCAACCUGCCUGUAAGACUGGGAUAACUAGCGGAAACGUUAGCUAAUACCGGAUAAUUUAUUUUCUCGCAUGGGGGAAUAAUGAAAGACGGAGCAAUCUGUCGCUUACGGAUGGGCCUGCGGCGCAUUAGCUAGUUGGUGGGGUAACGGCUCACCAAGGCGACGAUGCGUAGCCGACCUGAGAGGGUGAACGGCCACACUGGGACUGAGACACGGCCCAGACUCCUACGGGAGGCAGCAGUAGGGAAUCUUCCGCAAUGGACGAAAGUCUGACGGAGCAACGCCGCGUGAGUGAUGAAGGUUUUCGGAUCGUAAAGCUCUGUUGCCAGGGAAGAACGUCCGGUAGAGUAACUGCUACCGGAGUGACGGUACCUGAGAAGAAAGCCCCGGCUAACUACGUGCCAGCCGCGGC
rnacentral:rRNA from 1 species